GUCUUCCAGCUAGUAUAAGGGCUAUGAAAUUGGGCUUGUAACCCAGUGGGUUCGGGUGCGAAUCCCGAGUAAGACG